UUGACUCACGCGGGAAUCUUACCGGGUCCGGACACACUGAGGAUUGACAGAUAUACGCUACGUUGCGCUGCCUUCGGGUGCGCACGUGGCUCAAAGAUGCUAGUUCUUUCAUGAUUAUGUGAUAGGUGGUGCAUGGCCGUUCUUAGUUCGUGGAGUGAUCUGUCUGCUUAAUUGCGUAUCAAUAAUAGAGACCUAGUAUACGCGUAUUACUCGUGUGGUAGUGACCCCCUUCUCACGGAGGCGCGUGUCGCACAUGCGGUAUACGCACUGGUCUCAGAUAGCAACGAACGUGACCGUAUUCUAUUGUUGCAGUGAAUUAUACGUGUGCUUUAUUGUACACAUUCCCACUGCUUAGUGUGCGCUGCCAGCACUUGUUGCUGCUGCGUCACACAUUAAACCAUAGAGACCGCUGUUUCUUCUUUAAACCAGAGGAAGGAUAC
rnacentral:rRNA from 1 species